rnacentral:lncRNA from 1 species
AAGAUAUAUAUGUAAAUAAGGAACUAUAUUUUCUAAAAUUCAUCUGUGGUUGUUCUUUUAUUACUUUUAGGGAAUGUGAAACUACCUAUAGACCCCACAUGAGGUCCAGGACCAUUGUACUGUCUACUAGUAUCCUUUUGUGAAGCAUUUAAAAUCAAAAUACUCUGGACACAUAAAGGAAGCAGAUUUAGAUCUUUCUUGGAAGAAGAGCAGAAGUGACCAGUCACUGUUGCCAGGAACAUUCUGCCUUUUUCAGAAGAACUUCUCAAGGAGCCCAGGUGAACCUGUUUGUAUGAGAAAUACAUCCUCAGGCCCUCCAGUUUUGAAUUUUCUCAAAAUGUGUUAACUGUUGAGGAUUGCAAUAUUUCUUGAAAAGUUUCUGUGAAAGGCCUGGAUUUGGAUUUUUUCUACACCUACAGAAAUGUCAUAAAAUGUUCUGAAGCAAAUCAGCUUCUUGGGAGCUUUACAACUAUUCAGAUUAGUUUCAUGUAAAUUCUUGGGAAUAUUGCCAUCAGAUAAAUAGACCAAGGCAUUUGAAUAUUUCACUUGAAAACAUUUUAUAUAUUGAAAUAAAAUUGUGUGCAUGUAAAUUUAUUUAAUAGAACAUUAUUGUGAUUACAGGUAAAGGUGUCCAAUAGUGUGAAGCAAAGGCUUGAAAGUGUUUUUAUUUAACUAUUUGCUUAGGUGUGGUUGGUAUCAAUUACUUUUGUUAUUUUAUUAACAAGGGUGGGAAGAGGCAAAAUACUAGGAGAUUAAUUUAAAUCCAGCUCAGGAGAAUUAGACACAGGAGAGCAACUUCAAGGUGUCUGGCACAUAUUAGCAUUUUAUUUGAUUGUAACAAAAAUAUUGUGCAUGUAUUCAUAAAACACAUUUGUUGGGUUUCCUUUUAAGUUUCACAGUUUAUUCUUUUUAUUAAAACCUGUGAUAGGUCAGACUUAGUGCUGUCAAUUUCCUUUGCGAAGGACCUCAAAUAUUCUCAUUUUAAACUCAAGAGACUUUUAAAAAGGGGAUUGAGGCUCUUCUAAGCAGCAUUAAGAUGACACACAGAUGACCCAAGAAGUGACACUUCAAAUUCUGUAUCUACAUUUGUAUGAAGAACUGCAAUAAGCCUCAAAAGAAUUAUUUCUAAGCUACUGCAAAAUGUAUUUAGCCAAAACAUGACAUGUUUAUAUGGAGGUAGUCCUUGUACAUCCAUCUCAGUUUUAUAUGUGAGAUUUAAAAA